UGGGGAAUAUUGGACAAUGGACCAAAAGUCUGAUCCAGCAAUUCUGUGUGCACGAUGAAGUUUUUCGGAAUGUAAAGUGCUUUCAGUUGGGAAGAAGUCAGUGACGGUACCAACAGAAGAAGCGACGGCUAAAUACGUGCCAGCAGCCGCGGUAAUACGUAUGUCGCAAGCGUUAUCCGGAUUUAUUGGGCGUAAAGCGCGUCUAGGCGGUUUAGUAAGUCUGAUGUGAAAAUGCGGGGCUCAACCCCGUAUUGCGUUGGAAACUGCUAAACUAGAGUACUGGAGAGGUAGGCGGAACUACAAGUGUAGAGGUGAAAUUCGUAGAUAUUUGUAGGAAUGCCGAUGGGGAAGCCAGCCUACUGGACAGAUACUGACGCUAAAGCGCGAAAGCGUGGGUAGCAAACAGG
rnacentral:rRNA from 2 species